rnacentral:lncRNA from 1 species
GCCCCGCCCACUCCCGGUAUUGGCCCCGCCCCUGGUACCCGCCCACUCCCGGUAGCGCCCCCGCCCCGCCCCCGCACCUGGUAGCGGCCCAGGGGCGUGAGGAUGAGCCCGUCCUCGCCCACGAUGCAGUCCGGGAGCUGCUUCUUCCCGUUCUCGUCCUGCGUUGUCCCCAGGGCAAGCGUCAGCUGGGCGAGCUGGGCCUCGCUAAGCUGCGGGGCGGGACGGACAGAGGGUCUCGUUCGAGGCCUGGGGAGCCAUCCCCACCCAGACUCAUCGCCCCGAGGGCGGGGGCGGGCGGUGUACCCGGAAGGCUUGGCACAGGCACUCCAGCGCCUUCUCCAGGUACUCGUCCGUCUUGCGGACGCUGUCCUGCCCCAUCUCGUCCAGGUCGUUGCCCGCGUAGGAGCCGUUGCUGUCCGCGGGGUAGAAGCCCAGCCAGGACAGGAAGGGGCGGCCAGGUUGGGCUGCGCGAAGACCUUGGCCACGCGGAACACCAUGAGCGCGUUCUUGGGGCUGACGAGGUCUGUGCGCAGCGCACGGUUCAGGAAGCCCAGGAAGAGCUUGGUGUAGACGAGCAGGUUCUCCUGCACGAAGGGCGCCCUGUGGUGGGGUGAGUCAGGACUCCUCCGGGCUCUGUCUCCCGAGCCUCGAGCGGGGUGAUGGCAGGGGUAGUGCAGAGGGCUGAGGGCGGGGUCCUCAUGAAGAGGCCCUUCUCUGGGCGCAGGCGCGGGGCAGGGCUGAGGGGCUCUGCCUGAGUGCGCCUGGCGGGGGACGACGGGGGACCGCCCCCACAGCACCCUGCGCGGGCUCACCAUCUCUCCGACACGCCGCGGGCCUGGCAGCCGCUGCCCGGGGCC